GACGAACGCUGGCGGCGUGCUUAACACAUGCAAGUCGAACGGAAAGGCCCUGCUUUUGUGGGGUGCUCGAGUGGCGAACGGGUGAGUAACACGUGAGUAACCUGCCCUUGACUUUGGGGUAACUUCAGGAAACUGGGGCUAAUACCGGAUAGGAGCUCCUGCUGCAUGGGGGGGGUUGGAAAGUGUCGGCGGUGGGGGAUGGACUCGCGGCUUAUCAGCUUGUUGGUGGGGUAGUGGCGUACCAAGGCUUUGACGGGUAGCCGGCCUGAGAGGGUGACCGGCGACAUUGGGACUGAGAUACGGCGCAGAAUCCUACGGGACGCAGCAGUGGGGAAUAUUGCACAAUGGGCGGACGCCUGAUACAGCAACGCCGCGUGCGGGAUGACGGCCUUCGGGUUGUAAACCGCUUUCGACUGUGACGAAGAGUGCGUGACGGUAAUGGGUAAAGAAGCACCGGCUAACUACGUG
rnacentral:rRNA from 1 species